CUGCAGGUGGGGCGGGGCCGAAAGUAAUGGCGGGGAAUGUGCUUCCUGAUUGGCCAGCUUCUCCACCUGGUGCAUCCUGGGAGUUGUAGUCCCAGGCAAGGCACUGUAGGAGAAAGUUCUGGAUGCGAGACUGGAAGUGACUAGCAGUGACCUGUGGGCUGAGGGGGAGAGAGGGAAAGGUGUUGACGUUUUACUUCCUGUGUGCCAGGCGCUGUGCUAGGGCAUUUCUCAACCUGGUACAACAUCAAUCACUGUAAAGCAGAAUUCCUCAAGCUUUAUGGUACACAACAGUUACUUAUGAUGCUUGUGAAAAUGCAGAUUCCCAGGCUCGCCCUGAAGACUUUGAUUUAAUAUGUCUAAGCACAACUCUGGGAAUAUAGUAAGUGCUCAAUACGUCUUCGUGCGGUUCACUUCAGCCUGUGUAAAUGAAUCGGCCUGCUGCUAUAGUGAUAUCCUCAAGAGUCAGAGAAACCAAGCUGGGCGUUAGCACCUGCCGCUCCUGCCAGCAAAGCUCUGACAGUGGAAGCCAUCCCCCCACCUUCAUGACUUCUGAGCCUUCUGAGAGAGGGAGAGUCCCCAUGGUGGCUAAGCAGAAAGUGGAUGAACCACAAUAAGAAACAUUGGUGAGGGAACAGAAACAAAAAACAGAACUUGUGCUACCCGCACCUGGUCUGAGAAGCACUGCUCCAGGCUAAUGUUACCAGCUUUGGCUUGAUUGUCCCUGAGCCCUCCCCAGCCCUACCAUCCUCCCCAUCUCUCCUUUCCACCAUAUUCCUGCUCCUACCUGCUUCCGGCCUUGAACCUGCAGAUGUGACCUUCCUCCUGCUGGCGGCUCUUCUGACCUCUCCCCAUUUAGCCUCUGCCCCCCAGCCAUCUAGAGCAACUCAGAUGUGACUUCCUCAGCCAGACCUUCCCAACACACCCUCAGUCUCAGGGCUCUCCUUGUCCUUUUGUAUCACGUGUUGUUCCUCUUUCUUCCGGGCACCUGAUCCCCGCUGGAGAGUUUCCUGGGAGCUCCACUGUUUAAUGCUAGACCUACCCGAUCCCCCCAGCUGCAUGAAGGCAGGCACCACCGUACUGGCUUGUCCAUCACCAUCUCCUGGUUUCCCGUAAGAUGCCUAGCACAUAUGAGGUGCCCAGGGAACAUUUUUAGUUUUGGCACAUUAAAUGAUUGAGGAAAUGGAUAAUCAACGGAACUCAAAGAUCACUAUAGCCAUAUUAGUGAACCAUCUGUCUGCCUCUGGGAAGAGUUGCUCAUUUCAUCUUUCUGACCUCUUAUGCUUUACUAAGCCUUUUCUAAAAAUUGCAUUUCUUCCACCAUAUACUCCCCCAAAAGCAAGGCCUUGGCAUCAGGGAGAACUGAGUUUAAAUCCCAGUUUCUCCACCACCCAGCUGUACGACCUUAGGCAAGUGAUCUGAGCUGUCUGAGACUCAGUUUUCCUCAUUUAUAAAAUGGAUAUAGAAACACCUACUUCACAGGAUUCUUAGAAAAUUAGAUGAGGUAGUAAAAUUCAAAACACCGAGCAGACCUGUCCAGAGUAGAUGCUCAACCAGUAUUAAUUCUUUUCUCCUCCCUUGUCUCCUCCAUACUCUGUUAUGACUUCACGAAGCCACAGGCAGUGCCUUGGUCAUCAUUGUACCUCAGGAGCUUGAGAUACAGCAGGUGCUAAAUAGAAGUGUGUUGAGUGAACGGAUAAAUAACCCAUUAUUAAAUUAUUAUUAUUAAGUUGUUAAAUAAAAAGUAAUUUGAUCAAUA